UACGUAGGGGGCAAGCGUUGUCCGGAUUUAUUGGGCGUAAAGAGCGUGUAGGCGGCUUGGUAGGUCCGCUGUGAAAACUCGAGGCUCAACCUCGAGAUGUCGGCGGAAACCACUUGGCUAGAGUCCGGAAGAGGAGAGUGGAAUUCCUGGUGUAGCGGUGAAAUGCGCAGAUAUCAGGAAGAACACCUAUGGCGAAGGCAGCUCUCUGGGACGGUGCUGACGCUGAGACGCGAAAGCGUGGGGAGCGAACAGG
rnacentral:rRNA from 1 species